UUUUCAAGUCACUAAGUCACUUCACAAGUCCACCUUUCAAGUAACUACACUUAAACAUUUUCGACUCACUAAUGCACUUCUCAAGUGACCACACUUAACUAAAUUCAAAACAUAAGUCCACAUUUGAAGUACCUACACUUAAACAUUUUCAAGUCACUUAUUCACUUCUUAAGUGACCACGCUUAACUAAAUUCAAGUCACAAAAGUUCACAUUUCAAGUACCUACACUUAAACAUUUUCAAGUCACUAAUUCACUUCACAAGUUACCAAAAAAAUUUAAUUCAAAAUGAAAAGUUCACGUUUCAAGUGCUUACACUUAAACAUUUUCAAGUCACUAAUUCACUUCUCAAGUGACCACACUUUACUAAAAUCAAAACGCAACUUAAAUUCCAAAUAAAAGUCUUUUAUUCAAAAUUCAAGUAACUACACUAAACAUUUCAAGUCACUAACUCACUUAACAAGUUACCUAACUAAACUUAAUUCAAAAUAAAAAGUUCACAUUUCAAGUACCUAUACCUAAACAUUUUCAAGUUACCAAGCUACACUAAAUUCAAAAUGAAAAGUUCACAUUUCUAAGUCACUAAUUCACUUCACAAGUUACCAAACUAACUUUAAUUCAAAAUAAAAAGUUCACAUUUCAAGUACCUACACUUAAACAUUUUCAAGUCACUAAUUCACUUCACAAGUUACCAAACUAACUUUAAUUCAAAAUAAAAAGUUCACAUUUCAAGUACCUACACUUAAACAUUUUCAAGUCACUAAUUCACUUCACAAGUUACCAAACUAACUUUAAUUCAAAAUAAAAAGUUCACAUUUCAAGUACCUACACUUAAACAUUUUCAAGUCACUAAUUCACUUCACAAGUUACCAAACUAAACUAAAUUCAAAAUGAAAAGUUUACAUUUCAAGUACCUACUCUUAAAUAUCUUCAAGUCACUAAGUCACUUCACAAGUCCACCUUUCAAGUAACUACACUUGAAUAUUUUCAACUCACUAAUGCACUUCUUAAGUGACCACACUUAACUAAAUUCAAAACACAAGUUCACAUUUCAAGUACCUACACUUAAACAUUUUCAAGUCACUUAUUCACUUCUCAAGUGGCCACACUUAACUAAAUUCAAAACACAAGUCCACAUUUCAAGUAUCUACACUUAAACAUUUUCAAGUCACUAACUCACUUCUCAAGUGACCACACUUAACUAAAUUCAAAACACAAAUCCACAUUUCAAGUGCCUACACUUAAACAUUUUC
rnacentral:lncRNA from 1 species